AUAUCAAUAAGCGGAGGAAAAGAAACCAACAGGGAUUGCCUUAGUAACGGCGAGUGAAGCGGCAAUAGCUCAAAUUUGAAAUCUGGCGUCUUCGGCGUCCGAGUUGUAAUUUGAAGAAGGUAUCUUUGGUUUUGGCUCUUGUCUAUGUUCCUUGGAACAGGACGUCACAGAGGGUGAGAAUCCCGUGCGAUGAGAUGCCCAAUUCCAUGUAAAGUUCCUUCGACGAGUCGAGUUGUUUGGGAAUGCAGCUCUAAGUGGGUGGUAAAUUCCAUCUAAAGCUAAAUAUUGGCGAGAGACCGAUAGCGAACAAGUACAGUGAUGGAAAGAUGAAAAGAACUUUGAAAAGAGAGUGAAAAAGUACGUGAAAUUGUUGAAAGGGAAGGGCUUGAGAUCAGACUUGGCUUUGCCGGGCCAGCAUCGGUUUGGAUGGUAGGAUAAGAACAUUGGAAUGUGACAUGACUACGGUUAUGUGUUAUAGCCUUUGUUGAUACUGCCUGUCUAGACCGAGGACUGCGUCUUUUGACUAGGAUGCUGGCAUAAUGAUCUUAAGCCGC
rnacentral:rRNA from 1 species